rnacentral:misc_RNA from 1 species
UCAAACUUGGUCAUUUAGAGGAAGUAAAAGUCGUAACAAGGUUUCCGUAGGUGAACCUGCGGAAGGAUCAUUAUCGAGUACUUUGAAAAGGGUUGCAGCUGGCCUCUCGGGGCAAGUGCUCGCCCCGCUCAAACAAUCCACUCAAACACCUGUGCACCUUUUUGAACUCGCGAUUUUUUCGGACGAGGGGAUGUCAAAGUCCCUUUGACCGGAGGGGUCACCCGUUCUAUUACAAACACCUUAUUGAGUUUUUGAAUGUAAUUUGGUUGGCUUAAAUAAAAUACAACUUUCAACAACGGAUCUCUUGGCUCUCGCAUCGAUGAAGAACGCAGC